rnacentral:misc_RNA from 1 species
GAUGAAGAACGCAGUGAAAUGCGAAAAGUAAUGUGAAUUGCAGAAUUCAGUGAAUCAUCGAAUCUUUGAACGCACAUUGCGCCCGCUGGUACUCCGGCGGGCACGCCUGUCCGAGCGUCAUUUCAACCCUCAAGCCCUCCUUCGGGAUGGGCCUGGUGUUGGGGCUCGGCCGCCAUCUCCGGCGGCCGUCCCCUAAAUACAGUGGCGGUCACGUCGCGACUCCUUUGCGUAGUAGAAACACCUCGCUCCGGAUAGCAACGCGGUCCACGCCGUAAAACCACCAAUUUUCAAUGGUUGACCUCGGAUCAGGUGGGAAUACCCGCUGAACUUAAGCAUAUCAAUAAGCGGAGGA